CAUUUAAUGAUUCCAAAGUGGCUGAAGGAUCUCCUAAUUCAGAGCUUUCCAAAUCUGUAUUAUUGCUUGAAUCCCUAAUAUCAUUUUCUCUCCUGGCAAUCAAGCCCUCUGAGGAUGGCCGCAAGGAACUUUCAUUAUUCAGAGUUUCCUUCAAGGCCAUGGCCAACUCCAGCAAAUCCUCGUUGCUAUAAAUUUUAAGCUCAUCAAUCGAAA
rnacentral:misc_RNA from 1 species